CUGUUUUGUGAUAGGAGCAAUAUUUUGUGAAACACAAGUUAAUCAUAGGCAGCCAUUUUAAAAAAAGGUGUCACUUGCAUCGAACUAUUGUGCUAAGCGCCGCGCGUCUGUAUGGCAUUACCUCCACCCAUAUAUUUACCUUGGGUUUUUGUAGAAAGGUGACGCCGUCUGCAG